GACAGAACCAAAAAAGCUCACUCAUCUGCACAUCUGGCGCGAGUCCUAUUGAUUUUUCCUCCACAAUUUGGCGUUGUCGGCAUGAUCGCACAGCUCCGUACCCCACAACUGAGAGAGACAUCCAUGAGGAAAAAAGAUAAAUAUCCUAACCUCCUAAACCCCAUAUUUGAAGGGAGAAAGGAGUUCCAGAGGCGGGAUCCGGAUUGCUGCAAUCAACCGUAGAGUGAACCGAAGGUAAGGCGGAUCUGGCAGCUGUUGUAGGGAGGUUUGGGACCUGGCACAGUGCGACAACACUGGGGCAAAAAGUGUAGACUCCAAAACGUGGACUAUAAGGAAACCGUUGCACCGAAGUCCCCUCCCGUCGACAGACGCAAGUGGUAAAGCGUCAACUCCAACGAGCCGCGGAUCAGGGCCACUCGGGAAAGUUUGUUUUAGUAUGGAGGAUGACCGAAGCCAACUGACUCUGUGCAGGUUUCCAAGGUUGACCCCGAUACCGGCUCCUGCCCACCAAUGCCUUGCGCUCCACCGGUAGCAACGGCCCCUGCAGUGCCCACCCCGCCAGUUCAACCACCGGCCAAAGAAGAAUAAGGGGCUGUGACGGGAGCUGCAGCAUCAGGACCAAGCCGAGAACCGAGGCAACUCAGGCCAAGGCCAAAGCAAGACACUCCAGCGACGGUGGUGGAAGACUAUUCCAAAGUCCCACCCCCCAGCCUAACCAGGACGACCCGGACCUUACGACGACAUCAUUGGAGGCAUGCAUGUGGCGGCUCUUGAUAGUCAGCCGUGGCCGAGCAACCAUGGAAUUCCCAAUACAAGUUAACACUGCCAUCAUAGCUGGCUGCAGACAAAGGCCGGAGGAGAAUGUGGCAAAAUACUGAGGCAGACUCAGAAAUCCACGCUACCCACUGUGGAAUAGAAAGACUGGACAGGAUGGCAGAGGGACCAGCUGAGGUCACAGCAUGGGAAGUCCACCUCCGCAAUAGCUUCAUGAACGGUCUGCGAGACGAAAUCAGAAAAGAGGUAUGCAAGCUAUGCGUCGGGUGGGAAACAGCCCCCAUGAGCACUAUCGAGCAGUAAGCCAUCUACUCUGAAAAACAGCUGAGAACCGUAUCAGAGAAAAAACGAACGAGGAAAGAGAAUGAGGCACAUCAAGCAGCCCUCACAACGUAUCAAGCUGUUGCAGGACAAAGAAGCAGAGGCCGUGGUCAAGGACGAGGCCAUGGAAGAGGAAGAGAGGGCUAUGAGCAGAACAACAGCCAAAGAGAUGACCGAUGCUACACAAGUGGAAAGUAAGGGCACUUCGCAAGAGACUGUAAAACACAGAAGGAGAGGAGCUGUGACGAGGAAGCAGACUGACGGGCCAACCGCAGCUACAGAUAAGGGCACACACACACACACACAUCAUGCACACUGCACCCUCCCAGCACACACACACCACAUUCUCGCUCCCUCAUAUCUGAAGUAUACCACAUUGAAGUAUACUCUUGCUUGCCGCAACUAUCCCUAACAGUGCAGGGUAUACGUAUGUCAUUUCUGGUGGAUUCAGGCACUGCUAAAUCUGUAAUUCAGGCUAGGGAAUUAGACGUCCCGUUAUCUGGGAAAACAUUGACUACGGUAGGGGCCACUGGACACGCUACACUAGAACAUUACUCACACACUCUCCCUUGCCAAAGUGAAGGGGGUCGAAAUUUCACCCAUGCAUUCUUAAUGUCCACAGUGUGUCCAAUAAAUCUGUUGGGACCAGAUUUGAUGCGCAGGCUGUGCAUUGUAAUCAAGUCCAAACAGAGGGCCUAAAGGUAAUCGAGCCAACAGCGUAACAGAUCAAAUUGAACCACUGUACUCAUACCAGUGGCUGAUUGCGCAGGAACCCACCAGAACUGACUAUGUGCAGAUGUCAGAUAUCCUCAAACAAAGUGAACAAAAAUGCGUAGAAGUAAUGAAACUAGAAAACCUGUACUGUACCGCAUAUGUGUCCGUAGGGCCUGAUCAUGAGUAUGAAAAGGAGUGGUUCAGCAAGGAGCUCCAAGGAGAGGGCUGAUCUCCAGGAUGAGCCUCUCGAGAAUCCUGAUUUAGUGCUGUGGGCAGAUGGGAGUGCAUCCAGAGACCCAGAGACUGGGAAGCUGCAGAUCGGGUCCAGCGCCAUGUGAAGGCGAAUCACACUUUGAGAGCCUCUGAUCCAGAGAGGUGAUAAGGUGACUGACCUAAGGGGGGAGUAGGGAGGAAAAGGCUGCGUGCCACCCACUCGUCCCUAAGGUAUCAAGACCGGUCGACCUUCACCUCCCUCGACAGGAUGCUGAUCCCUCAUGGGCCCAGAGACUAGUGGCUCCCCCAGUCAGAGUCCUUAUUCCAUCAGAGACAGUUCAGGACAAAAACUCAAGUAGGACAAAACGAGAAGCAACCAUGCCUCGCUGGUGGCAUCAAUAUCAUCUGUGGGACCCUUGGACAACCCUGGGGGCAACAAUGGGUUGGGCCCUACUACCUGGUGGCAGCACUGCUACCACCUUGCAAAAAUUAAACAAGCUGGCAUGGCAGACACAACUUUCAGCUAACGAAACUGAAGUGGCUUUAGGAACAAUAGACAGGGAGUUGUCCACCAUUCCCACCGCUGUCCUUCAAAACAGGCUUGUUCUUGACACGAUUUUAGCAAAGGAAGUGGGUGUGCAAAGUGUUGGACACUGACUGUUGUUUUUACAUUCCAGAUGGUCAUCAUAACUGAUUUAAUUACAGCCAUGAGAGAUGGUCUACCUCCCCCUCCAGAAGCAUAAUCUUGGUUAUCUCAACUUCAGCAGCAGUGGGGCCCAUGGGGCCAGAUGUUACUUCAAAUUUUCAUCCCAGUUAUCUGUGUGAUGUUAUUGCGUUUGUGUUUUGCUCCAUGUGUGUUGUCCUGUUGUUCCAGGGUUGUAGCUCAACUAGUCGCUCCACAACUGUUGUCAUUUCCCUACAAUAAUGGGAAUGCCCUGGAGCUGCAGGAUGACUUCGACCCUGACGAGGAACCAGACUUAAACCCUCUUCCUGACUGGAUGAUGGAUCCCGAUGUUUAGAAAUGCAUUCAUGAACUUUAAUAUUAUGCACGUAACGCGUUUGAGGACUAGCCUCAAAUGAGUUCAAUAAGCUUAUUUGCAAAAUCAUGUUAGGUAGUGAUAAUGUGUGAUAUUAUCAAAGGGGGGAAAUGUGAGGGAAAAUGCUUAAUACUUGCUUAAAUGAGGAAGUAAGGAAUAUGUGACCUUGAUGUGACUUUUGUCCUCAUCUUGACCAGUCUGCAAGAAAGGCGAAAAGAGAAGUGAUGGAGUAUGACAGUUAUCACUUAACUGUUGCUGCGCAGGGGUGUAGCAGCAGGGAGUAACAACUUGUUUUUAGCAGGAAAGUAUGUUCAAGGAUGGUUGAGAGGCCUGGCAUCCGGAGUCACAAGAUUAGCACAUGAGAGAACAACAGGGAAUGGUGGGUUUAUAUGAACUGAGAAGUUUGAGGCUUCUCUCAAUGAGAGAGAAGUUUGAGGCUUCUCUCCUUCGAUGCAUAAGGGACAGAACCAAUAAAGCUCGCUCAUCUGUACAUCUGGCUCGAGUCCUAUUGAUUUUUCCUCCACAGCUGCUAAAACAACCCUAACCUGUCAUGGCAUGGAUGACCUUGUGGUAUCUGGUACCAAGGUGAUGGCAGGUGAGCAUUCAAAGCCCUUUAAAUUGCAAGGUAGGGCCUCCAUGGAUUGAGUUGCUUUUUCCACCAAGGAUGCUUGAUCAGAUUGAGAUAUGGGGUAUAUGGAGGCCAAUUCAACAACUUGAACUCUUGGUCAUGUUUCACAAACCAUUCCCAAACAAUAUGUACAGUGUGAGGGUGUAUAAUUCUGCUGCAUGAUGCCCUUGCCAUAGCAUUACCCUGAAGGGGUUUUAUGAAAGUAACAUCCACAUUGCAGUACCUACGUUUUC